GAUGAACGCUGGCGGCGUGCUUAACACAUGCAAGUCGAGCGGUGAAGGAGAGCUUGCUCUCCGGAUCAGUGGCGAACGGGUGAGUAACACGUGAGCAAUCUGCCCCUGACUCUGGGAUAAGCGCUGGAAACGGCGUCUAAUACCGGAUACGAGCUGCGAAGGCAUCUUCAGCAGCUGGAAAGAACUUCGGUCAGGGAUGAGCUCGCGGCCUAUCAGCUAGUUGGUGAGGUAAUGGCUCACCAAGGCGUCGACGAGUAGCCGGCCUGAGAGGGUGACCGGCCACACUGGGACUGAGACACUGCCCAGACUCCUACGGGAGGCAGCAGUGGGGAAUAUUGCACAAUGGGCGCAAGCCUGAUGCAGCAACGCCGCGUGAGGGACGACGGCCUUCGGGUUGUAAACCUCUUUUAGCAGGGAAGAAGCGAAAGUGACGGUACCUGCAGAAAAAGCACCGGCUAACUACGUGCCAGCCGCCGCCGUAA
rnacentral:rRNA from 1 species